rnacentral:misc_RNA from 1 species
AAUGACAUCAUUUGUACUCACUCCCCCGCCGUCUUCGUCGUAGUGGGAGGCGGUGGACAUCCGUCCGAGAACUAGUGUCCGUCACAAUUCCGGGCCGGUUUGACACAUUUCGGAAAAAGUCGGGGAAGAAGAAAUUUUCAAAAAAAAAAAAAAAACGAAAGUACACAGUGCCGUUGGGAAAUUUCGAGUUUUGAAUUGUUAUGUAGUGUCUUGUGGAUUUUUCAUCUUUAAAGGCGCAGGAAAUGGAGCUGUGGACUGUAAGCUUGGGACUGUUUUUCGCGCUGGCCGUCGAUUCUAUGCCUCAGGAGAUCAUGCCGUACAUUCCAAACUUAUCCCCUAAAGAUAGAUGUAAUGGUGUUGUAAUUAGAGGACCUUGCACAGACUGGAGUCCAAAAUGGUACUUCAACCAGACGAUACAAGCCUGCCGGACGUUCAUUUACGGGGGUUGCAAGGGGGAGAAUGUGUUCAACUCGGAAGCUGAAUGUCUUCAUUACUGCAUAGGAGGGCAGCACACUCUCCCACCGAACUUGAGGCCGAGAAACGUAACAACGGACAAACCGGAAAUCCUCAGGGUCCCAAAGACGACCACGAUCCCGCCUGCGCCUUACGACGAGCGAGGCGCGAAGCUGACGUUCGCGGAAACGGGCUACCAAGAAGUAUUCAUGAUGGCCAAAAGCAACGCGUUUAUACAGUUAGAUGGAAACAGGAUCACCGAAUUCCAAUUGAGAAUGAGCAGAGAAAUAUCUUUUCAAUUCCGGACACGACUGCCACAUGGACUUUUGGUCUAUCACAGCAUCAAAGACAGGCCUCCUGGACUAAAUCCUUACGCUUUGUACGUCAUUGUUGAAAAAGGCCAGUUGAAAGUCGUCCAUGUCUUCGGCAAACAUUCCACAUCCAUGAUAGUUGGUGAAGGUCUAAACCGUGACAGGUGGCACAGCGUGACUGUGACUAUCGACCUCGAGCAGGGAAGACUGAAAGCCACGGUGGACGACCAGUCUGGAGAGGACAAAAUCCAGGGUUUCCACAAAUCCAAGAACUACGGAGUUACAAAAGAUUUAACAUCAGUCGUUCUCAUUGGAGGACUGAGCCCGGAAGAGAAACUCCACGGUGUGAAGUACAUUAUCGAAUCGUUUGUCGGUUGCAUCAAAGACGUGAGGCUAAGCGCUGGUAAAAAUGUUUCCUCGCUCACUGCGAUAAUCCCACUCAUAGCCACGAAACACGAUAAUGUCCUCGAAGGAUGCAUUGACAAAUGCAGGACGAGAGAAAAUUUGUGCUUCGUUGGUAGCAAAUGUAUUAAUCAUUACAAUCAUUUAUCAUGCGAUUGCUUCGGCACAUACUAUGAAGGAGAACAAUGUGAUAUAUACACUGCCACGAUACUUACACUAAGAGGCUUUUCAUUUGUAUCAUACCGAGUCUAUGACUGGAAAGAUCGAGUCCACUCUAGUGUAAAUAGAAUAAGUUUACAUUUUAAAACAAGAUUUGAUGAUUCAGCGCUUUUUUAUGCAAGUGGUGAAAACAUAUAUCCUCCUUAUCGCCACUACAUAGGGAUUUCUUUGCUCAACUCGACGAUAAUAGUCGACAUUGAUCUCGGAUAUGGUGCAGUUGUUAAGAGAAUGGGCUCUCAUCUGACCGACAACAAAUGGCACAAUUUGACCCUGCUGCAUGUCAACUCAACCGUCACAAUCUACCUUGACGACACAGUCGCCGAGAUGAAGUUGCCAGGUAGUAAUAGGCAUUUGUACAUCGACCCAGAAAUCAACAUAGGCGGUGGAACAGAGCUGAACAAAAACAAGGGAUUGUACUCAGUCAAUAAUUUCAUCGGCUCGCUCAAAUACGUCUUUUACAAUGAUGCAUCCAUCCUGUACGAGCUUAACAAGACAAGUCAUAAAGUGCAUUACAUCGGUGUCCUGGAGCCGUUGUUCGCCGAAGUUGACGUCGAUGUCAUUCCGAUGACUUUUCCUUUCUCAUCGAGCAAUUUUGCAUGGAAAGUAGCCAGUCGUGAAUUUCUUCACUUGCAGUUUGAGUACAAAUCGAAUAAAAAUGCUGCUGUCAUUGCCGCAUCGGCUGUCAUGUCAGAAAAAAAACCAGGAUGGUGGGAGCUAAAAAUAGUCAACGAUGAGCUGAGAUUUGAAUUAGUUCCUGACUCUAUGAAAAAUGUCACAUAUCUUUUAAGCGUCAAGGUGGAAACGAAAAACGUCUGGCAUUCUGUAGAAGUUUUAUAUUUGAAAGGCGAAGUUGCACUGACUGUCGGAAAGAAACCAAGGCAAAAGAUGAAGAUAACAGAACAGAUUUUACUCGGAGAUAAAAUUGUAAUUGGAAGCGCAUACCCUGGCGGCAAGGCAAGUGUGGGUUUUGUCGGCUGUUUGCGCGAAGUCUUCAUUAACAGAGAGUUUGUCGAGCCGAGGCUCGUUGUUCUCUCGAAACGCACGACCGGCGAGGUGUCCCUUGACAACUGCGAACUCGUCGACCCUUGUAAAAGGCCCAACGCUUGUGAACACAACGGUAAGUGUUCCGUGAAAGACGACCGGCUUACGUGCGAUUGCAAAGACACAGGAUACAUCGGAAAAAACUGUCAUUUCGCCAAAUUUAGAAAGACAUGUGAAGAGCUCGCCCUCUUGGGCUAUACAAAGCCUGAUGUUUAUUUAAUUGAUAUCGACGGCAAUGGAAGAUUUCCUCCGGCACAUGUUAAAUGCGAAUUUCAGUCUUUUGAAGAUUCAACGAAAACUAUUGUAGAGCACAACUUACCAAGCCAAGUGGAUGUGCGAAGUGCGUCUGAAAGUGACUUCAGCUUUCAGAUUAUGUACAGAGAGUUUACAUCCGAGAUGCUCCAGGAGCUGAUAUCUCAUUCGCUUUACUGUUCUCAGUACAUCAAGUAUGAUUGUUACAAAGCGCCACUUGAACUUCAUUCUGCAACUUGGUUUGUAGCAGCGGCGAAUAACGGGACUGUAGACUACCUCGGAAAUGUAAAACGAGGCUCUUGCACUUGUGCAGAAAAUAGAACAUGCGUGAGUACGGAACAGUCGUGCAACUGCGACAUAUCCGAGGCGAAAUGGCUGUCAGACGAUGGUUAUUACAUCUCUCCCAAUUCUCUCGGUAUCACUCAAAUGGUGUUCCUCCAACAGACUGAUCUAGAAGAAGACGCGCUCGGAAGGAUCACCCUAGGCCCAUUGGAAUGCGUCGAAACAAAUACGCAGAAAUACGUUGUGACAUUUACAACGAGCCAGUCUUACAUAGAAGUCCCGGGGUGGCGCAAAGGGGACAUUGCUUUUAGUUUCAGAACCACAGGGGAAAAAGCUAUUCUCCUGUAUCAACCGCCGAUAAGACCGCAUCAUCCAUCCUUCAUGGUGGCACUUACAAGUGAUUUUCAACUUACAUUCAAUUUUACACUAAACACUGGAAAUUCUCGUGAAUUGGCUGUAAAAUCUCAGAGGAAGCUUAACAGCGGUGAAUGGCAGAAAAUAUGGAUAGAUUACAACGAGCAUCACGUUAGGUUUAUGAUAAAUACGGAUUAUCAAAUGGUGGAUCUUUUGCCUGACGAGGAAUUCGGCCCGUUCGAAGGUAGCAUGUUCAUCGGCGGAGCAACCGAAGAACUUCUUGUGGAGAGAUCGGUGAAACAAGGCCUUAUAGGUUGUUUCAGGGGUUUGGUCGUCAACGGCGAGAUCCUCGACAUAUAUUCCUACAUGUCGGUGCACCUUUCUGAGAUAAUACAAGACUGCAAGCCGUCCUGCUACCCGAAUCCUUGCAAAAAUGGCGCAAAGUGUAAAGAGCUUUGGAGCACGUUCCAGUGCGUUUGUGAGAACUCAUGGGCGUACAUCGGAACUUUCUGCGAAACGAACAUAAAUGAAAAUGGAAUAACACAAGUAUUGAGGGAGCCGCAUGUGAGCAAAAAUUUCCUCUCGAUGGCAAACGAAACGGAUAAGUCGACGUUCAAAAACCUCCUGCAAGAGACGAUCCUCCUCAAUAUCAGGACGUACGACAACCAUUCGCUUAUUCUUCACGCAAACGACCAUUUGAACAAUUUCAUCCAGCUGUACAUUAAAAACGAAAGUAGGGUCGUUUUCUGCUUCAAUUCGGGUGACUUGAUUCACAACGUGAGCGUCGACUACCACGGAUUGAAUAGUGGAAAAUCUGUUCAAAUAGCGAUUGUAAGAAAUUACAACGAGACGAUACUGCACGUUAAUGAUAAAAACAGCACGGUUAUUGCACCUAUUCUUCUUCUUACUAAUUAUUCCAGCAAGCCUUGGGCAAAUCCUGAACAAGAAGUUUUAGCGCCUCAACGUCCCCCUGCACCACCAACAGAAUAUUUCCAAGUGAAUAUCGGCGGAUAUGAAAACUUGCUGAAUGCUGGGCAAGACAAGCCUCUUGAGGGGUUCAUCGGUUGCAUCAGGGGGCUGAAAAUCGGUGACACAGUUGUAAACCUGACAAAUUACAUAGAAGAGAAAACCGAUAACGCCUCUGUGAGCAUGAUACCUGGAUGUCGAAUGAAGUGUGAUGAGAAUCCAUGUAAAAAUCAGGGGAUCUGCAUCGAAGAUUUUCUCAAGGGCGAGGCUUCUUGUAACUGUGAGUUCACCUCCUAUGAAGGUGAAUCAUGUAGUGAAGAAAAAGGUGCCGAUUUCGGCGGUGAGUCAGUUCUACAGAGGAAAUUCACUCUCGAAGCCAACAGUACGAUAAACAAUAUCAAAGUCCAACUUGCGUUUUCCAGUUCUGACAACAGGCAGAGAAGCACGGCUCUUCUCUUACUUCAAACCGUUAACAAAAGGAGUUAUUACCUAAUUGUAGCACUGAAUAUUGAAGGCGAUUUGAUCAUAGAGGAGGACAGAGAAGGAUCAGCAUACGGUGUUAAAAUGAAAGACAGAUCUUUCCUCAACGGAGCCAGGCAUUCUGUCUAUUACAAACGGAUAAAUGACUCUGCCAUACUUCUCGUUGACCGCGAGGAAGUUCAAUUGGUACCGAUACCUGUUCUAAGUUUGACUGAAGUCCCCGGGAACCAUGGUGCUAAUGAAGUACAAGUUGGAGGGUUGAACACAAGCGAUCCACGGUUCGCGGCAUACAUGAGCUACAGUGGUUGUCUUUCCAAUGUAAUUCUGGAAGUUAACGGACAAGAGAUGAAGCCUCUGGAGGAGUACAUGUCCUGGAAAACUGGUAGUACGGUACAUGUACAAAAAUCCCAAGGCGUGCGAAGUGCUCAGUGUGCAUUUUUUGAAGCGAUGAAUAAACCAAGGCCUGGUCCUGUGCUCAACCUGAGCUCAGUCAGUGGAGAAGAAGAGCAUACAUGGGUUGAAGACCCUCCUGCGAAAAUCCCUUACAAGUCGCUUUAUUCUGGACCGUCGACUGCAGAAGAAGGAACAGGGAGAGUUCUGUUUAUAAUCGCCACGUCAAUGUUCUGCAUAUUUGUAACCGGUACGUUUUACCACGUCUAUCGGACUCAUGUCGCUUAUAAACGGAGGAAAGAAGCUGAAACGACGAUUCUAUGGCAUAACGCUCCGAUUCAGUAUAAAGAGCCUCCUAUACCUAUAGCACCUAUCAAGUCUGUCAGGUCGAGAAGUGUGUGCGAGGGUAGCCUGUACACCGGGCAGAACGGAAGGCCUGUACAGUACCAGGAAUCACUUCUAAGACCCGCAAUCAAACUCACCAGGUCAAAGAGUCAGGAUGAUAGCAUCAAAUCUUCUUCGCACAACGGCUCCGAUUUGAAACCGGUCUACAAAUCAUCACCGAGCACUCCAGCCCCUGUCGUACGAUUCAGAAUACCUUCCGACGAUCAUAUUAUCAGAGAAAAUGGAAUACAAGAGAAAAACAUAGAUGAAGAGGAGAGAAGAGAACUUUUGAAGCCCUCUUUGACCAACGAGAUCAAAGAGGAUUUCAAACCAAAUGAAGUUAUCGUAAAACCGAAUCUCGAUGUAGUUACUUACACCAUUGACGAAGACCAUGCGGGCGAAAUGGAAGAAGAGGAAGAAAUGCAGCGCAACUUGCGACCCAGGAGUGUUGAUUUUAGCGUCGGCGGUAAAGACAAGUUGGUGCAUCAGGAGUUAAGGAACAAUAAUCACUACUUGGUAGAAAAUCCUGUAGAAUAUACUACAUACUCAUAACUCAGGAGGAAGUCGACAGAAACAGGAAUUCAAUCGCUUCAAGUUCAACAUCGCUUUCGUCGACGGGCGGCAGACAACUUUGGGGAAAGCUC